GACGAACGCUGGCGGCGUGCCUAAUACAUGCAAGUUGAGCGCUGAAGGUUGGUACUUGUACCGACUGGAUGAGCAGCGAACGGGUGAGUAACGCGUGGGGAAUCUGCCUUUGAGCGGGGGACAACAUUUGGAAACGAAUGCUAAUACCGCAUAAAAACUUUAAACACAAGUUUUAAGUUUGAAAGAUGCAAUCGCAUCACUCAAAGAUGCUCCCGCGUUGUAUUAGCUAGGUGGUGAUGUAAAGGCUAACCAAGGGGAUGAUACAUAGCCGACCUGAGAGGGUGAUCGGCCACAUUGGGACUGAGACACGGCGCAAACUCCUACGGGAGGCAGCAGUAGGGAAUCUUCGGCAAUGGACGAAAGUCUGACCGAGCAACGCCGCGUGAGUGAAGAGGGUUUUCGGAUCGUAAAACUCUGUUGGUAGAGAAGAACGUUGGUGAGAGUGGAAAGCUCAUCAAGUGACGGUAACUACCCAGAAAGGGACGGCUAACUACGUGCCAGCCGCCGCGGUAA
rnacentral:rRNA from 1 species